AAACUAUUAUUGCGUAUGACUUCAAACCUAACUGGCAAUCGUAGCUCUUAAAGCUGCUGUCGAACUCUGAUCUUGUCAACGAACUUGUCCAUUAGAUAAGGGAUCAUAUAUUCCUCCAUUCUAGAUAUCAUAUGGACUGAGACAUGGAUUAUAAUCAUUCUCUCUGUCCAUUUGUUGUUUCCCGAUUUCCGAUUUAUGACGACUGACUAAUUGAACAAAUCAAAUCAGUCCUGGCCCGGCCGAGCACUUCCAUUUGUCAUCAUCAAAUCAUCGAGGGGCCCACAGAUAUCGCUUUUAUCCCGAAGGUAAAAGGAAUGGAUAAACUUCGACUCAUAUGGCUUGUUCUACUACUUGUUGAAUCAUACACAAAGGCACGUUUUAUAGCACCGAGUUACCAAAUGCGUUUUCGUGCAAUCAAUGUACAACCAACUCAUAGUAACAACUCAUAUCUCUAGGUUUGAAGAAUAUAAGAUAUUAUCGUCUCAUGAUCACUCGUGAUAAAAUCCAUGAAGUGAUUCCAAUGAGCGCGGGUUGAAUCCAAUACUCAGAACUUAUGAGCACUCAUGAGUGUUGUAGCCCUUUGUCCAACACCUUAGACCUCUACAAGCCAACCCAUGACAGUCUUAAUUCAUAUCUACUUCCAACAUAUGACCGACUGUGGAUGGUUUGAAUAACUUAGUCAUUCCGGAAGAAUAACCUAGUUUAUUCGGGAAGUCAAAACAUGCAAAGUGAAACACAAUAAUAAUUGAAUCCAAUAUGGUAUCAACCCUUUGAACAUAAAUAAAACACCUUUUAUUUAUCACCAUAUGAUUACACAUUAUUCAUUGUAUACUGUUUCAGCUAUCAACUUUAUUCUUGAAUUUAAAACAAUAGUUGUCCCAUGCUCCAAGCAUGUACACUAUGUUUUCUUAAACACUAGUCAUGCCACACACCAAGUAUGCAUACUAUGUUUGUCUAUGAUCUUUACUUUGUGAACUAGAUCAAUUGAACAUAACUUCAAUGAUUCUCUUUUCACACUCCCAAAUCCUUACUGCAAAUGCAAGAAUUCCAAAUUCAUGCCAUUUACUGAAAUCUGUUAGAUUCUAAACUUAUAUGCAUUGAUCCUCUUGUAAUGAUUAUGCACAAAGUCACAAAGACUUGGCAACAAUCAUUACAGAGUAUUCCAAAGGAGAUCAACUCCUUGGAAAUAUCCUUCUUGCAUUAAGUUUCCUUAAUCUUACACAGAUUGAAAAUUCUAACUUUGAAACAUUUCCAGAUUCCAUUUUGACUAUCACUUCUGAACAAGAGUUGCCUCCUUACAGAUUAUGUCAAUAUGGUCCUUCCAGAAUUAUCACUAUACUUCCAAUUGUCCUUGAGUAACCAAUCUUUGGUAAACCUUAGAUUGUCCUCGACAAUUGUUUAAUCCUUUUAGUCAUAUCCAGUUCUAAACCUUUUCCCUUCUUAAUGCCCCAGGCAUUUGGAAAAUUUUAGAACGGAUGAAUAUAGCACAUGUAAUCGAUCCUAUAUCCGAAGCAUAUGGGACACGAUUCAUGAUGUCUUACAUAAAGACUAAACCAGUCUUUUGCUAUAAUAUUUCCAUUUCAAUUUGCCAAGUUCUCAUAAUUCAGAUUAUGAAAAGGGAUGCCGUAAUCAUAAUCGAAUUUUAGAACGCAAAUAAUGGACCCAUAUACAGAAUUUCCUUAUGUUGAGCCAUUCCAACAUGAAAUUCAUAUAUAUCCUUGACUAAAUGAUUAAAACCUCACGAUCUAAGCUUAUAGAUUUGAGAUGAAGCAUAAUUUCCUCUCCCUUAAUUAUAGCAAAACAACUUUUUCCCAAUUGAAACUUUUGUUUUCUAUAAUUAACAUUGCUAACUUGCAAUACUUAUCAUAAUUAUCAUGCUCCCACUAACAUGAUGAUUAUUAGCAUAACACUUAUGCUCCCACUAGCUUUGACAUGUACUCAGAAAUCAGCUGGACAGUCUGAAAUUUAGAUUCAUACACCCUUUCCGUAGAUAGCUCACCUGUGUGUCUAAGCAAUUUCAAGAACCAUGAAAAGGGAUACCGUAAUCAUGGUCUCAAUUGCUUAGGCAUUUGCCAUUUCUCACAAGUCCAUGUUAGUGUGCCGGUUAACCACACGCGCUCCACUAACGACUUUUGAAAAUGCAAAUAACACAAUUGAUAUCUUCGUAAAAUCUACUUAGUGAAAGCGUUUCCUCACCAUCAUUUUCAUGAAUCGGAGAGAAACCUUAUGACACUUAGAUUUAUAUGGUGUAUGAGUUCCUACCCAUAUGAAUUUGUCAAACCAUAAUCACAAGACAAAGAUAAUGACAAAUCCAAAACCAUAUGGAUUGAACUCAAUCUUAACUUCUUGCCACCUGGCAGCUCAAGGGCCUGCCAUUGCUUCCAAGUUGUUGUGCAACAAAUUGAGAACUCUAAGAACUCAUAUGCAAAACCAACUUUAACUGGAAUGGGCACAGAAUAUGUCAACACGAUAGGUUAUGAACCUCAAGUCGUGUGCUAGUGAAGAACUUUAGGUUUUAUUCUUGAUUAUUUCUUGAGACUUUCAAGACCUUUAAGACUCCCACUGUCCUCUUGACAUAUAAGACUCCCUUGUCAAACAUCCAAGAGAUAGUGCGGAUUCUAAUCAAGAAAAACACUUUACCCAAUUGGCCUAAGUUGGUCUUUGUUUUAUCCAAAACAUCACAACUUACCAAUUUCAAAUGUACAAGAGUAGAAAACUUUUACUCUUACAUUUGACAAGUGUUUUAAACCUUCUUUAAGACAUGUCACUCAAAUGACAAUCUUGGAGUAUGACUCUAAGACUUGUAUUGGAACGAAGUAUGACUCAUCUUCUUGAUUUAACCAUUUCAACAAUUCAAGUUCCUCUUCUUAGUCAUAAGAAUGCACUAAGAUUUCCUUAGAGAACUAAUUUUGAUAUGGUUUCUUAAUCAUUAAGAUGAUCACAAAACUGAUACUAAAGUACUCUCCCAUCUUUUCAGAUUUGAGAAACUUUUAUCCUUCUGCCUUAUUUGAUUCUUCUUAUCGAUCUUUAGUGGUGGACUUAAUCAGUGCACAAGAAUGUGUACUCGAUCCCUAAGUCCUUUACUUGACUCACACAUCCAUGUGAACAAGUAAUUAGUCUUAAUUUUCCAAAACUUGAAAGUUCUCAUUCAUCAUGCUAUACAACUUGCAUGAUUCCAAGUUCCGGUCCAAUUGAAACUUGGGUGAUGAGAAUCUUUCCUUAUUUGGUAAAUUUAGACAUUACCACAAAUGAAAGAAUCAAUUUCAUACUUCCACUCUUGCUACUAAUGGAAUCUUAUAAGCAACAAAAAUUUCCACAGAUGCCAUUGUAAGGAUAUUUUAAAAUAAAUAAAAUCAAAAAUUUCCUUUUAUUUUAAAACUUUGCGGAAAAACUAUCCUUACAAUCCAUAUGAAAACUUGUUGUUAUCUAUUCCUAAGCAAUAUCUCAUAACUCCUAAGAAGUAGCUCAAGAAUCCGAUUUUUCAAACUAUGCGAUAGAAAUCCAUCUAUGCGAUCAGAUUCAGCAUAUUCUUCCUUUAAGUUUCUUCACUUUCCUUUGAUUCUUAAACCAUCACCAUGCGACCCGGUCACAUCAUGUAUCAAGAAUCUCAGAAUAGAAACUUAACAGAGUUAGAUAGUGGAUUUUACCUGAAGUAGAGUCAAACUUAUUGACUUUAACAUCCUUAGGUAAAUUUGGCAGCUUCGCAACCAAUGCCCUUUCUUUGGCAAUACAAACAUAUGGACCCUUUGAUAAUGGUACACAGGACUAUCACAGACUUAGCUUUUCUCUUUACCAUUUGGUCAACCGAGUUGACUAUAGCCGAUCCCUUUCCAUUGGGAAGAGAAUGCUUUACUGGAUAUCCAAUGUCAUCAUUGUCAAUGUCCAUAAAGUUUUAGGAAGUUGAUCUUAGCAAAUAGAUAAGAUCAUUAAGGGUCUUGUCAUAGUCUGUUUCAUAGGUGUCCCAAAGGAACUCACUAUGUGACUUAGAAAGUGGUUGAACCACCAACUUUCUCAAGACUUUGACACCCAACUCUCCCGGCUUGUCAAUAUGUGACUACAUCUCCAAGAUGUGACCACACCUAGACCUUGCCUUGCCAAUAGGGCCUGAGUGACCUUAAACUUUUCAAGAACUUGUGGGUUAGGGAGAAUAAUUUGAAGAGGUGAAGAAGUAUGAUAUCCAUGGGACAUCAUCUUCAUUAGGAAACCUUGUUUCAAGAGAUUUGGGAAGAUCAUAGGUGUCUAAACCAGACAUCUUUUGGGAGAUAUUCAAGAUAGUUGAUUUAAAGUCCUUAAUAUGACACCCAAUAUGAAAUAUUAAGGCUAGGACCCAACAAACUAUUUUAUAACUUAGAAGAGGUAUGCCGUAAUCCAAGCUAUAAAAUAUUUGAAGGUAGGUGAAUGACGAUUCACCAAUUUCCACCAAGAUAAACGAAAUGUAUUAUUAGGUUUUAAUUGGUUUUGAAACUCCUAGAUCUUUGAGAUUCAUUGAACUUUUCAAAGGCAUGUUUCAAUCUCGAGUGUGCCCUUCAGGUUUUGUGACUGGGAUGCCGAGGAUCACAAAACAAGGUGUGAAGUAACCAUGCAAAUCACUUGGUACCCUUAAUAAAUUACCCCUCAAUCGAUGUGCCGGUUAACCACACACGCUCCAUCGAUACUAUGAUAAAUAUUAAGUCACCCUUUACCUACCUUGUUAAGUCCAAGUUAGUGUGCCGGUUAACCACACACGCUCCACUAACGACUUAGACAAAGUGUAAAGUGUAAUUUCAUGGAUUAGCACCUUAUUCACAUUUUUCCUAAGUAACUAAGAUUGGGUAUUAUUAAGAGUUUAGUUACUUAGUAUUAUCAUUAAUACUUUUAAUGAAGGGAGAAUUCUAGUCCUGUCAAACCCGUUCGGCUAACGACCCUCCACCAGUCAAGCAAGCGGUGGGUGAGAGUGGACACCCAUUAAGUUGCCAUUUUAUAGGCAACAACCUUAUACCCACCUUAUAGACCGGCUUCGUGAAUGAGGCGUACUAGCGGUAAGACUGACUUUACUCUUAUACAUAUAUAUAUUAUUAACUUAUAAUAUUAUAAAGUAUAAGGGUUGAAUUUUAACUUUUAAAAUUCUAAGGGCUAACUUGGAAUUAAAGUAUUCAUAAGUGAAAACUUUACAAAUUCCAAAACUUGAGGGCAAGUUUUGAAACUAUUCAAAACUAAUUAAUUCCAUAACUUAUGUGUUUAAAGUAGUUUUAAUCCAAAAACUCUUCAAGUUCCAUAACUUGAGGACAAGUUAUGGAAGACUUUAAACUAAUAAAAGAAUUAACUUUUCUUUAUUUUAUAACUUAUGGAAUUAAUUAAGGUUACCCCUUUUUUUAUUUUAUUUUAUUUUAUUAAAUGAAGAGACUCUUGGUCCUCCAUAACUUGAGGACAAGUUAUGGAGUCAUAAAACCAUUUAAUUAGAACUAGACUCUUCAUUUUUGUAACCUUUGCCAAUUUUUAUGAGUUUUAUGAUUCUUAAAUGUGACUUUUCAUAUAACUUGAGGACAAGUUACAAAAACACAUUUUAGAAUCAAUUCUUAGAUUAAUUUGGAUUAAAACCAACUAUCACAUAAUUUUAUUCAUUAAUCUAAAUUCACUCAUAAAACAAGGUAACACAAAAAACUUUUGGUGAUCCAUAACUUAUUCUUAAGUUAUGGAAUCCUUUAAAACAUUAACACCAAAUUUUGUAACUCCAAAAAAACUUUGAAUCAAUUUUUUUUUAAAACCUUUUCAUAUCCAUAACUUAUGGAGGUUUCAAAAAAUAAAACUCUUUAGAUCAAACUUUUAAAACUAAUAAAAUAAUCAUAUUAUUUUAUCUUUUAUUAAAUUUGACCUAAUUCAACUCAUAAAGCAAAUUAUUCAAAUUUUACAAAUAAUUAGUUUUUCACAAGAACAAGUAAUUAUCUUAAAAUUUGACGAACUUCAUGUUUUUUUUAUUUUUUUUUUUUCAACUUUGAAAAUAAAAUAUUUGCAUCAAUAUAACAGAAAACAACCCGAGGCUCUGAUACCACUGUUGGGUUUUGAGCAUUCUAACACUCCUAUGGUGUACAUGCAACCCUAUAAACCUUGGAUCUAUGUUUUCUCUAUUAUACAUGCAAAUAAGAACUUUCCAAGGCUUUAAUCCUAACUAGCAUAUUAUGAUGUUCUUAAUCUACAAAGUACUAGUUAGAGGACAUACCUUUUGAUGUAGCUUGAUGUCUUCAAGCUUUAAGAGCUUAGCCCCAAUAGUGUGGAAGCCUCAAGUGGAAUCACAAAUCACCAAGACACCUUGGAAAACUUUAGAGAAUAUGAAUACUUGGUUCUCUCUUAGUAAAAUUGGCUAGCCCUCUUAGUGUAUCCACACUAGUGCCCAUUUCAACAACCAAAGACAUCUUUAUAUAGUAUGGAGGAUUAGGGUUAAACCCUAACACCCAUGACCUUUCAUUUCCUAGGAUCCAUGGGUUAAACACUCCAUGGACUAUCCAUGAAAGCUUAGCCCAACCUAAAUGAACUUGGCCCAUUCCAUAUAUAUAAGAGUCCAUAUUUAAUUAGUUCCUUUUGAUCACUUAAUUAAUUAUAAAUUAAUUCUUGAUCAAUACUAAUUAAAUAAUAUGAUUCCAUAUUAAUAUAUUAGAACUUAUAAUAUAUUAAUAUUAAUCAUAAACAUACUAUUCUCAAAAGAUUAUCCAUAUAAAUUGUGUCGGUGAAGUGCAACCCAAAUGGACCAUGCCGGGUCGGGUCAAGUACAUACCAAAUAUAGUUAUGGACUUAGACAUUAAUCCAACACUCACAACCUUACCCAAAGGGUGAAGUACCAGUAGAUCUAACGAAUUGAAAAACCUCAACCUUUAACAUAAACAUUCCCCAGAAAUGACUAAAACAGAUCCCACACCUUGAUUGAAACUAAGCAGAACCCACAAUAGAUAACUAUCUCGAUAAAACUUUCAAAGUUAUCUAGAUAUGUUGUUAAAACCCUAAUCGAGUCAAUCCAAAUUCUAACCCUGCCAUUGCGACAUGCCAAAAUUGGAAUCUACACAGAUCCAAAGUCACACCUAGGAAACUAAACAACACAGUCCUAAACUCCGAACUUCCAAUAACCAAGGACAUCCACCAAACUCGAGCUUAUUGAGAAAAAAACUUCCAUAACCAAAAAUUGAGCUUACCCUACCCCUAAUCCAAAAGGUACAAUGUACAGAUUUUGACGAUAGGUUGACGCAUCUAUUGAACUCCAACUGAUAAAGCUUGAAACUUUCGAAGAACCUCAACUAUUGACGAUGAAUGAAAUCACCAACGAUUGAGAGUGCAUGGACAACUAGUCCAACGACCCAACACAUUACUCAAAAAAACCCAUGUGGAACUAAACAUACCAAACUCGAAAGUUGAUUUACGGAUCAACAACUGCACAACCUAGACCAUAGGUAGAAAUCUAUACAAUGAGCUGACAAGUUCCUCUAUAACAGAUACUCAAACUGAGUGACCCAAACGCUUCUUGUAAUAUUCAUCAGCAUUCCUGGAAGGGACCACUGGCUAUAACGAUGUCCUUGACCAACAGCUUCCUGUCAUAAAGACAACCUAUGUAUUCAUGUGCACAUACAACUAAUGGCAACUUCCUCUGUAUCCACACCUUGACCAAAUCUUAGAACCAAAGUCUCACAUACCCGAACUAAAAAAUUCUGUGACCCAUUAUUCCAAAACCAAAAACUCAAACAAAUCAAUGAUUCUCUAAACAAAAUACCCAGUUCUCCACCACUUAGGGUUCGAACUACCAUCAAUUAAUGUUGCAAACAGACCAAAACUCAAACAAAUCAACCAGAUACAUAGCAUCCCUGGCCCUUGAAAUGUAUAACGCAAUGCAAGAUGAUCAUCCAUAUAAAGAACAAGCAAACUCAAAGAAAUUUAAAAUCUCAGAUGGAGACCUUGGAAACUUCCCAAUCAUAAUUGCAUGUAACAUCAAGAAUCCCAUGCAGAUGCACAAGCAAUAAUUCUGACAGUCCCUUCAUAACACUGAUUCUCUAUAUAGAAACAAAUGGGAUACCACACACCUCUUCUAGAAAUCGCCAACCAUCGAUUCAUCGUUAGGAUCAUUCAUAAAUACAAGAGACAUAAUCCUCAUAGUCGAGAUAUAUCAGAGACAACAAAAGUUUUCGUUCCCGAUUCACUUCCCUGAUCACCUGAAUUAAUCAACUAGCACCUGACCUGCCCAUAUUCAAAGAAAGAAGACCCUUGAUCUCAUCACAAGGAAACCACACCAAAGAAUCCUCUUGUGCAUUCCCGCACUGACAUACAUGCUGCCAAAAACUGCAACUAUCUGGACCCAUGCUAGGUUUACACCCCAACUCUGAAAAUCACAUGUCUGCUCUCUCGUUCCUCUGAACAUAGAAAACUGGAAGAACUUAAUCCUCGUCGUAGAUAGUGACAUCCCAAUCCAUCUGCCAAUCACUCAGCCUCUGGUUGCAAUCCUCGAGUUGAUCUUAACAACCGCUUCCUUUAUUGAGUCAUGCGACUCAACUAUCACUACCUCGAUCAAGGCACUUGAUAACUCAAAAUGAACUAAGGCCCAAAAAUCAUGACACCCAUCCUUAGCCUGAAUAACCAUAACCGAUAAACCAAAUAAGACAGAAACACAUUGAAAUGAAUCAUGGUGCCAAACCAUACAAUCUACCCUCAAUCAACUCCUUAGAAUCCCUAAAAUUUUCUUCAACCCUAGUACAUAUCCUGUGCUUUGAGUAGUAGGGUCCCAAUACUACCUUCCACACCUGUCCCUACUUCCCUCGAGAAUCAUUCUGGGUCCUCUAAGUAACUACUCAUGUGCACUACCGUUCAAUCCAACCACAUGUACCCGCUUUUAAACGAAUACACAUCCCUAAACAGCACACCAAUGCCUCUAAGGCACUUCCUAGGCUCUCCUAGGAUUUCCACCUCACCCUUCCAUUAGUUGCUAAAGAACCGCUACUAAUAUCAACUAACUACUUCAUGAAUACAAUUACAUGCAACAGAACUGAAAUAAUCUUUCGAAUAAAAGACCCAACCCUACAACGGUUGGACUCAGACAAGAGCUUCGCAAUAGGGCCAAAUCAAUAACUCUAAGAUUAUUUGACUUUUGUAGCAUGUAAGUUAAGAUAUUCAUUUAAUAGUUAACUCACAUCAAUAUAGAUCCCACGAAGCACAAAGCAAGCAACAUUUGGGCAGUAACACUCUAUAGUCCAUAAAACAUAAAAGGCAUCCUCCAACUAGCUUGCUUUUGCGAUGCUAGGAACUUCUAUCAACACUCCCAGUUGCCUUAUGAAUUCAAAUUAUACACAAAACGGGAUCAUAUAGAUUGUCAAAUGAAUGAUUCUACCCUAAGUCCACAACUAGACAAGGAAUAAGAAAUAAGGCCAAAUCAGUCAUUCUAGAGCUACAUGAUCCUAAUCGUAUACAAUUUUUAAAGCAUACGUUUAGCAAUUAGCUGAGUCGAUAUCAAUCUUGAGUAAUACAUACCAUCAAUUCCCCUAGGCUAUAGGGCAUCACACAAAUCAGGAAAUCCUAGCAUACGAUUCCUAAAGGUAUCCUUACCCUUACUCUGGCAUGCAAUUCACAUAACAGGCAUACUAGUAAUAUACUUAGGUAUGAGUAUUUUAGGAAUCACUUACAUGAGUUUGGCUAAUUGCACGCAUCGCACCCUUUUUCUUUAUAGAAAUAUUUUUAGAAAAUUUAUUUAUUUUUCAAAAAAAGUUAUCAAAUCCUCAGUUUGAGUUCAUACACACCCGAUAGCGUACCUGAAUCCCUCAAACCAAGGCUCUGAUACCAACUUGUAAUGUCCCAAAAAUACCGAGUAAAAUUUUCAUUUUUAAAUAACUCAAAACCAUUCAUUUAUUAUCCCAAAAGACAAGAAAAGUAAAAGUAUUCUCAAAAUAUCAGAGUAAAGAUAUAAAUAAUCAUUGCAGAAUAAAUCUCCAAGGGAUGCAGUACGAUCAAGCCGAGCUCUUUCGUUUGAAAUUGGAUGUACCUAAAAAUGUUCAAACCACAAAACCGUAAGCACAAAGCUUAGUGAGAUCCCCAAAAUAACACAUACAACAUAUAUGUAUAUAAAUAACACAUAGCUGUGUCAGGUCCAUAACAACCUCCAAGUCCAUAAUGACUCCAUAUAACAACAUGUAGUUGUGUUGGGUCCGUAACAACCCCCGAUUCUGAAUCAACCCCAAGUCCAUAAUGAUUCCAUAUAACAACAUGUAGUUGUGUCGGGUCCAUAACAGCCCCCGUGUUUAUUUCACCCCACAUACAUAAGCAUAUAGACAAAUCAACAUGAGUCACAAUGACAACAAGCACAUACAUGCAUAUCAACAAGUGUCACAAAGACAGAUAUCAUCCUAUAAACAUAUUCCAGUGGGCCGACAUUGGGGUGCCUGCAACCCAUGAGCAUAGAGAAGGCACUCACCUGAACUACUCAAUAAAAAUCCAACAGGUACCUUAGCAUCAGAACAGCCAAACCGAAACCAACCCUUAGUCAAAUACUCAAUUCUACCUAAGUUUGACCAAAAUUCAAACCGAUCAAAAAAUCAACGGUCAAAGAAAGGUCAAAAUUGUUAAUCAGCAGCCCUCCAUGUUGUGGGCACUAAAUGCCAAAACAGUAAAUGAUUCCUCAGUCUCCACGACGUGGCAGCCUAAGGCCACAUCGUAGGGAUUGGUCUGAACAACUCAAACGAGCUUAAUCCAUUUUCUUCCAAGUUUAAUAGCUCCAAAGUGUAGAUCUGGUCCAUUUUAAGCUUUUAAUGGAUAAAGUUUCCAAGUUUAUCCCUUCAGUCAUCCCAAUAUGCCAAAACUGUUAGGUUUUGAGCAUUCUAACACUCCUAAGUGUACAUGCAACCCUAAAUACCUUGGAUAUAUGUUUUCUCUAUUAUACAUGCAAAUAUUAUUAUUCCAAGGUAUUACCCUAUCUAGCAUAAAAUCUAUGAUACUUGGGUAAUAAAACAAGUUAGAAUACAUACCUUGUUGAUGUAGCGUGUCUUCAUGAAGCUUGAGUGCCUAGUGCCCCAAGUGUGACACCUCAAAUGGUUCACACAACACCAUGAAAACUUGGAAUAACCUUGAGAAUAAGGAUACUUUGGUUCUCUUUAGUGAAAUCGGCUAGCCCUCUUAGUGUACCCACACUAAUACCCAAUUUCACCAACCAAGGACAUCUUUAUAUAGUGUGGAGACUAGGGUUAAACCCAUGACCUUUCAUUUCAUAUGAUCCAUGUGUUAAACACUCCAUGGACUAUUCAUGAAAGCUUAGCCCAACCUAAAUGAACUUGGCCCACCACACACACACACACACACACACACACACACACAUAUAUAUAUAUAUAUAUAUAUAUAUAUAUAUAUAUAUAUAAGANAUACUAAUUAAAUAAUCUUAUUAUUCUUAUUAUUAAUAUACUAGAACUUAUAAUAUAUUAAUAACCAUAAGUGUCUUAUUUCUCUCAUUAUAGUCUAUCCAAGUGCAUGAUGCCAUGCAACCCAAAUGGACCAUGCCGGGUCGGGUCAAGUCUUACCAAUUAUAGUUAUGGACUUAGACAUUAAUCCAACAGUCUCCCACUUGGAUAAGUCUAAAACUAUUAUUGCAAUUAUGGCUUUAUAACCCGACUAGCAAUCGUAGCUCUCAAAAGCUUCUGUUGAACUCUGACCUUGCCGAUGAUCUUUGACCUUUGUCAAUGACUUGUCCAUUAGAUAAGGGAUCAUAUAUUCCUCCAUUCUAGAUAUCAUAUGGACUGAGACAUGGAUUAUAAUCAUUCUCUCUGUCCAUUUGUUGUUUCCCGAUUUCCGAUUCAUGAUGACUGACUGAUUGAACAAAUCAAAUCAGUCCUGGCUUGGCCAAACACUCAUAUGUAUCUUCAUUAAAUCAUCGAGGGGCCCACAGAUAUCGCUUUUAUCUCAAAGGUAAAAGGAAUGGAUAAACGUCGACUCGUAUGGCUUGUUCUACUACUUGCCGAAUCAUACACAAAGGCACAUUUUAUAACAUCGAGUUACCAAUGCGUUUUCGUGCAAUUAAUGUACAACCAACUCAUAGUAACAACUCAUAUCUCUAGGUUUGAAGAAUAUAAGAUAUUAUCGUCUCAUGAUCACUCGUGAUAAAAUCCAUGAAGUGAUUCCAAUGAGCGCGGGUUGAAUCCAAUACUCAGAACUUAUGAGCACUCAUGAGUGUUGUAACACCACCUUGUCCAACAUCUUAGACCUCUACAACCCCAACCCAUGACAGUCUUGAUUCAUAUCUGCUUCUAACAUGUGACUGACUGUGGAUGGUUUGAAUAACUUAGUCAU
rnacentral:lncRNA from 1 species